AAAGAAAAAGAAAAAGAAAAAAAAAAAGAAUAAUCCUAAGGACAAAGAAAAAACCCAACUGAAAAAUGGGCAAGAGACCUAAGUAGACAUUUCUCCAAAGAAGACAUACAGAUGGCCAACAGGCACAUGAAAAGAUGCUCAACAUUGCUAAUUAUUAGAGGAAUGUGAAUCAAAACUACAAUGAGGUGACUUCCCUGGUGGCGCAGUGGUUAAGAAUCUGCCUGCCAAUUCAGGGACAUGGGUUUGAGCCCGGGUCAGGGAAGAUCCCACAUGCCGUGGAGCAACUAAGCCCGUGUGCCACAACUACUGAGCCUGCACUCUGGAGCCUGCGAGCCACAACUGCUGAGCUUAGAAGAUUUCAUUUGGAUUUCCCCAGGCCCUGAGCACACAUUCCUUUCACGGGUCUUUGGGGAAGGAAUCUUAUUUUGAACAUCUUUUUAUUCCCCAAAACACCUGACACGGUGCUUAUCCACUUCAGUAAAGCGUCUGCUAUGAAAGCUAAGCUAGCGGUGCUCAUCUGAUAAUGUCCAGAAAAUGGCGACUGCAAUAUUUCUCCAGUAAUUUAUUCCUGCAAACAUUAUUUCCUCACAUGCCACCGUGUGCCAGAGAGGGCUCUUUCAUCAGCUAUUCAAAGGCAAGUACUGGCUUACAGAUAAAGAGGAGGAAUGCUGAAACCAGUUCUCCCGGGAUUGAGGCCCAGCUGUACCACCUCUUAGAAGUGUGACCUUGGGCCAAGUUGUUUAACUUCUCUCUCUCUCUUCUUUUUUUUUCCUUUUUCUUCUUGGUUAGUUAAGUGAAGCAGUGGGGGUGGGGAAGGAACAAACAAAUCUGUACCUGGCUGUGAUCAAUGAAUUGUAAACACUGUUGCACUCAGACCAGCCAACCUCUCUUUACUUUGGUUUCCUCAUCAGUAAACAAGGAUGAUAACAGAAACUAGGUUAUAAAGAUCCUCCCCCGUGGCACUAAUCUUGUUUUAUAAUGAUAUAUUUGAUUAUCAUUUGCCAUAUCUCUAGGCUGCAGGACCUGGAUCUGUUUGGUCUCAUUAUUUUAGCUUCAAUGCCCGGCACAUAACAGUGUCAAUAAAUAUUUGUGAAAUAAAUAAAUGCCCCAACAAUUCAUAGGAUUUCAACAAUUAGGUCUUUAAAAGCCAGUAUAACAAGAACUCUUAUUUUUAAUGAGUUUGAUAAUGUCCCCCAAACCAUAGAACUUCUAGGUUUCAACUUGA